UAACAUUUGAAAUGUGAAUAAAAAAUAUCCAGCUUAAAAAAAAGAAAAAAAAUAAGUUUGGCAAAACAUUAAUAACUUAUGAGGAACAAAUUUCUUUAGUUAUUCAACAAGGCAGAUAAAGAGCUGUUACACUGUUGGGAUAUGAUUGUGCUGCUAUUGUUUUCUCAUUAAGUAAAGAUACAGUUGUAUAUUUAAUACAGAUUCUGAAGUUUUUGAAUUAGCCAUGAUUUCUUACACUGGAAAUAUUAAAUUUUAUUUUCCCCAUAGUAAAUUGUGGAAUUGCUUUAGAAAAUAGAAAUUUGUGAUAAAUAUACUAAUUUCUGUUGAUCCAUUACCAUCUGCCAUUACUGUGUUUCCUGAUGGCUCUAAGACAAAGGGUGCUUAUUGGAUCAAAGAUAAAUUUUGGGUACAGGAAUCUUCUUUUGGGCCAGUACAACAAAAUUAGCAAUAAUUAAUGUACUGCAGGAUUUUACUCAUGAUGUAAAUAGUAUAGCUGACUCAGCUUAUGUUGUAGGAGUAGUACAGAAUAUUGUGACUGCUGUUAUUUCUACGUCUAAGCUUACAUUAAAUAUAUUAUUUUCAUAUAUUAAAGGACUAUUUUUAAUACAAAACUCUAGGAUAUUUAUUACACAUAUUAGAUCACAUUCAAAAUUGCCUGGAUCUUUAACAUUUGGUAAUCAUAUGGUAGAUCCAUUAGUGACAUUUGCUACCCCAGAAGAAGAACAUAGUCACAAUCAUGCCAAUGCAGGAUAUUUACAAAUUAAAUAUAAGAUUCCCUAUUCUCAAGCCAAAGGAAUUAUUGCUAAUUGUCCUAUUUGUAAGCCUUUACAUAUAAGAUGUAUUCCAUCUGGUAUUAAUACCAGAGGAAUGCAACCUAAUGAAUUGUGGCAGGUGCCUGUAACCCAUAUUUCUGAGUUUGGUCGCAUUUCAGAUAUACAUGUAAGCAUAGACACUUUUUCAAAAUUUGUAUAGGCUAUGCCAUUGCCUGGAGAAUGCAUUGCUCAUGUUAUACAACAUCUAUUGGAAACUUUUGCUGUUGUGGGACUACCCUCUAAAAUUAAAACUGCUAAUGGAACAACAUAUAUUUCUUAUAAAUUUAAACAAUUUUGUCAACAAUAUCAUAUUGUACAUAUUACUGGUAUAAAAUAAAAUCCACAGGACAAGCUUUUGAUGAAAGAGUACACCAUACCUUGAAACAACAAAUUAAAAAAUUAAAAAGGAGGAAAAGAGAUGACCUUACAUAGCCUGAAUGGAGUUGGCAGACUAAUUCCAGAGUUAUAUUGGCACAAGCAUUAUUUUUUAUUAACUUUCUUAAUUUAUCACAAGGUGAAAUUUUAUCAAGAGCAGAUAGAUACUUUACUGAACUCCCCCCUGAAGGCAGUAUGGAUAAAACAGCCAGUAUGGAUAAAAGUUGCUCGAGAUGCUGAAAGGAAGGGACAUUACUGUAUUCAGGUAGGAGAUAGGCUUUUGUCUCAUUAUAGGAUGGGAGACAAUUCUGGUUACCUGGGAGAUGGGUCCAAGCACAGACUGAUAAGAACUGCGCCCUACCCUCGCAGGAAUCCAAUUAAACCAGCUACAUUUUCUCCUGAUGGAAGUCCUUCGGAGAUGAAGGAGGUGUCUUCCGUUACUGAGGCCAUGGCUUCUCUUACGUUUGAUAAAUGACAACAGAGAAGGAUAUGUGCAGUGACAACCCCAUUACCUACGUGGGGUCAGGUGAAAUGAUUAACCACUGAAGGACAAAAAAUGUUCUCUCAUACGGGAAAGCCCUUUACUGCUGAGCAUGUAUUUUUAGCAAUGUAUACUUUACUCAUGGUGUCUUCUGCUGAGGCCAAUGUGAGUUAUUGGGCUUAUAUUCCUAAUCCACCUUUAUUUGAGCCUGUUACUUGGGGGGAAAACAGAUGUGGUGUUAUACACUACUCCAAGCAUUUUUUCAUCUCCUUGGAAUAAUUUGACUUAUUUGAAUAAACAUGAUGAAGUUUUGUAUAAUUUUUCUUAUGCUGGCUCAAAGAUGCCUUUAUGUUUAGGACAGAGAUCAUGCCUCCAAAUGGGUUAUUUGCAGCAAUUGACAGCUUGAUUUAUAAACCAAAAUUGGGAUAACAUUACAUUUGUUAGUGAGCAAGUAUAUCCUAUUUGUGCUCAAUUUACUUAUAUAGGCUUAAAAUAUCGCAGAUUCAUUUGAAAAAAUUGCCUUGGCACGUUUGGAAAAAUUAUUCAAGGUAAAUGAUAAAUUGGGGUUCUUAUGGCCAAUUUAUUAAUUAAUACAUGUUCAGAAUGGAAUGUUACCACUUAUGAUUUGUCUAAUGUUAUGGAGGUUCCUCAGAAAAUUGGACAUUGAACUGCCUGAGGACCCAGCUAUGCCUCUCUUAGGCAUAUACCCAAAAGAUGCCCCAACAUAUAACAAAGACACAUGCUCCACUAUGUUCAUCGCAGCCUUAUUUAUAAUAGCCAGAAGCUGGAAAGAACCCAGAUGCCCUUCAACAGAGGAAUGGAUACAGAAAAUGUGGUACGUCUACACAAUGGAAUAUUACUCAGCUAUCAAAAACAAUUUUAUUCUAUAUUAGAGUGGCUACUCCAGCUUGUUUCUUGGUACCAUUUUCUUGAAACACUUUUUUCCAGACAUUUACUCUGAGGAAGUAUCUGUCUUUGUCAUUGGCGUGUGUUUCCUGUAUGCAGCAAAAUGCUGGGUUCUCUUCAUGUAUCUAGUCUGUUAGUCUGUGUCUUUUUAUUGGGGAAUUGAGUACAUUGAUGUUGAGAGAUAUUAGGGACCAAUGGUUGCUGUUCCCUAUUACUUUUGUUGUUAGAGGAAUUAUGUUUGUGUGCCUAUCUUCUUUUUGGUUUGAUGCAGUUCGAUUAGUUUCUUACUUUUUCUAGGGUGAAGUUGCCUUCCUGUGUUGGAGUUUUCCAUCUAUUAUCCUUUGAAGGGCUGGAUUUGUAGAAAGAUAUUGUGUAAAUUUGGUUUUGCCAUGAAAUAUCUUUGUUUUUCCAUCUAUGGUAAUUUAGGAUUUUGCUGGAUAUAAUAGCCUGGGCUGGCAUUUCUCUCAAGGUCUGUAUGACAUCUGCCCAGGAUCCUCUUGGCUUUCAUAGCCUCUGCUGAGAAGUCUGGUAUAAUUCUGAUAGGUCUACCUUUAUAUGUUACUUGAGCUUUUCACCUUUCUACUUUUAAUAUUCUUUCUUUGUUUAGGACAGUUGGUGUUCUAUUUGGAGUUCUGUAGGAUUCUUGUAUGUUUAUGGGCAUCUAUUUAGUUUAGUGAAGUUUUCUUUUAUAAUUUUAUUGAAGAUAUUUACUGACCCUUUAAAUUUUGAAUCUUCACUUUCUUCUAUACCUAUUAUCUUUAGGUUUGAUCUUCUCAUUGUGUCCUAGAUUUCCUGGAUGUUUUGCAUUGGGGUCUUUUUGAAUUUUGUAUUUGCUCUGACUGUUGUGUCAAUGUUUUCUAUAGUAUCUUCUGCCCCUGAGAUUCUCUCUUCUAUCUCUUGUAUUCUGUUGGUGAUGCUUGCAUCUAUGACUACUGAUCUCUUUCCUAGGUUUUCUAUCUUCAGGGUUGUCUCCCUUCUGAUUUCUUUGUUGUUUCUAUUUCCAUUUUUUAUAUCUUGGUUUGUUCAAUUCCUUCACUUGUUUGCUUGUGUUUUCCUUUACUUCUUUAAGGGAUUUUUGUAUCUCCUCUUUAACUGCUUCUACCUGUUUACCUGUGUUGUCCUGAAUUUCUUUAAGGGAGUUAUUUAUGUCUGUCUUAAAGUCCUCUAACAUCAUCAUGAGAUGUGAUUUUAAAUCAGAAUCUUGCUUUUCUUGUGUGUUGGGGUAUCCAGGACUGAUUUCUGAAGAUGCCAAGUGGCCUUGGUUUCUGUUGUGUAGUUUUUUUGUUCUUGCCUCUCACCAACUGGUUUUCUCUGGUGUUAGCUGGUCUUGCUGUCUGUGACAGUGGCUUAACUCUCCUGUAAGUCUGUGUUUCAGCACUCCUGGGAGACCAGAUCCCAGUAGGAUCUGUGCACAGAGAGCUGUGGCACAGGGUCAGCUCUGGGUGCAGACAAUAACUGGAAGGAUUCCAUCCUAGACUGCUUCUCGCUUCCCAUGUUCUGAGGCUCUCGGCAGGUCCCUCUGAGCAGAAGUGUUUGUCCCACCUGUGCUUCCAGGUGUGUCAGCACUCUUGGGAGACCAGCUCUCUCCCUGUGGGAUCCGGGUACAGAGAUCUGUGGGAUAGGGUCAGGUCCAGGUGCAGACCCAUUUUGGCUUUUCUUAAAAACUUUAGGGAUUUUUUUCUAUUAACGUUGCAUCCUUAUCACUUUUAAAACCUAGUCUUUUUAUGUGAGGCCAUUUAAAUUCUUUAUAUUUUUGUGGGCAUUCAGUAUUUAAUGACAUUUGUUAUAAAUUACAGGAUAAGCUAGAGUUGGUUUUCUAACAUCCUUUGGCUGACUUUCCUGAUUUUCAUUAUAUGGUAGUGCAGUAGAUUUUAACCUUUUUUCCCCUCUCAAUAAACCUUUUAAAAGGGGCUGGCCACUUUCCUGCCUUGAGUAUACAAAAUUUCCAAAGAUGUUACCUGCCUCUUGAAUCAGCAUAACAGUCUGUCAUUAACUCUUGCCUGUGUGAUAAGCUUCUUUGUCAAAGGCUGAGAGCAUGGUAAUACAUAGAUAUGGAUAUAAGCGAUUUCGACCUGUCCAUUUAGCAAAACAAUUGUAAUAGGUUCCUAACCAAAGCCUAUGACAUCUUUAUCCAUAGGAACACCAAUAAACUUUAAAGAUAUGUUUUAGAGUUUUAUCAGUUUGCUUAAAUCUCCUCAGCUUCAGAUCCCUCAUGUGUAAAUGCCAGGAAAAAAAAUAGUACCUACUUCACAGGGUUAAUAAGUAAACAAUUCAAUCCUUCAUAGCUCAGAAAAAUGGAAUUGGUGGUGAAUAUCCAUUUUUAUCUCUUUCUAUAAUUUGGAUGGAAUAGCUGCAGAGGUACCCAAUUCUCUUGCACAGUCCCUUCCUCUUUGUGGUAAAAAACAGUCUUCAGUCUCCCCCCAAGAGGAUGCACCUGCAUGUAGAUCCUCCCAAGUGACUGCUGCCUGCUGUACCUGCAUAAAGUUUUUCUCUGUGUGAUGUCACAAGGGAGGAUGGUUGCCAGGGCAAAAUGGUAUCUUCAGAAGCCAAGGUUCUUUAGUCCUUACAGGUUGAAGACCAUGCAGCUGGGAACUCCCACCCUCUAUCCCCAACUGCACAUGUCCACUCCUACAUUUCAUGUCUGAAAGAGGUUCAUAUUAGUACUUUAUCCGGGAGUCUUUGCAAAAAUCACAGUAAAAAGCCAUCAAUUACUUUUUCCCAUAACAUUUAUUGACUAUUAGAUCCUGCAAAGGAGGGCACUAAAUGUUACAUCCUAAGUUGCCUGAAGCUCGAAGAGUCACAGGUGAACAUAGUACCUUAACAAUAGUAUACCACCAAUUCUUACCAUGGGGGAGUCCAGGACCCUAAAAAGUUAGAUGAGUCUUAUGUGCCCCAAAUUUUCUCCCAAUACCCUUGAAGCAUAUCUAGAAACAAUCCUUGCCUAAGUCCAUAGAUCCCUUUUGUUCCUUUUCUCCUGAAAAGGAACUUCCUCACUGCUGAUGAUAAGCUCAGGCAGAACUCUCUUCCUGAAUCCUCCCUCCCAUCAAACUAUCAUUUCAUGUAGAGAAGAUAAUAGGCUAAUAAUGAACUCAGAGGGUACCUAGAAAACUGGUGUGCCAAUGGGCACUAGUUUCCAACAUGUCAAAGAACAAACACCCUUGCCUCUGCUUUAUUCAGGGGACACUUCUGAACCCCCAAGGGACAGUCCUUACACUUUUUCAAGUUCACACUGCCUGCCUGUCUAUAACCCUUAAACCCAGGACUCAGAAAACAUAGUGGUUUCCCAUGUCCUUCUCAGAGAUGUUCAUAUUCCAUAGAGAUUGUGGUUUACGUAUUAGUAGAAAUCCUUCAGGAUAUAGGAACCAGGUAACCAGGUUUUCAUUAGUUAGGAUUUUCUUGAAUUUUAUUAUCAAAUAUUAUUAUAAAAACAUUGAACAAAAGUGAGAAAACACAGUGGUUAAAAACACACUCUGGAGCCAAAGUAUCUCAACUGUACUCUCUUGUGUCUCCUGGGUAAGUUAUUCAACAUCUCUGCUUCUGUUUAUCCACUUGUAAGUCUGCGGUAGUAACAAUGCCUCCUUCAUAGAGUUAAGGGAAUUGAACAAGUUAAUAUUUUAAAAAAAAGAAUUUAAAAGGAGGCCUAGCACAUGGUAAGUGCUUAUGUAUUUGUAAAACAAAACAAACAAAAACAACCCCCCCAAAAAAACCCCUUAAAUUAACUGGGUUAAUUUCUCCAUGGAUCUAAGAGGUCUUUAUCCAAACACACUUUUUUAGAUGUUAUAGUAGAUGUUUAUGUACAAUUGUGUCCUUUUUACUGUUGUUUCUUCUAUUACAUAUAUUGCCAGUACCCACAAUUAUAAUUUAUAGUGAUUGCCUAAGAGUUAUAAGCUAACUGCCCAAUAAUUCACUGAUAUGUACCAAUGGACACUGACACUACAUUAUUAAGUAUUGGUUCUAUUUCAAAACUCAGUUUCAUAUUUCUAGGCAAUAGCCUUUCUAUCUUCUAUCAUUAGUGAUCUCAUUUACUAAUUUUUUUCUAAAGAGGUUAACCUUGAUCAACAGUAAAUAUUCCACUCAGUACUAUACUAAUUUUUCCCCAUAAGUUCAGACUUAAUAUUCCAUAUUCUAUCUCUUAAAGAGCACCUAGACCCUCCCCUUGUAAUAGCAAAAUCUGUUUCUAUCAUUAUGCACAAAAUGUUAAUGCAAAGCUUCCCAUCUAUAUUCCAGGUAGUAUUUUUCCAGUUAAAACACUAACUAUUCUUGGCACAAGACUUUCCUCUUAGUAAUGCACAAACUUCUACAUCUUGAUCUACAAAUCAGAGCUUUUGCUAGAAUACUGCAUUCACCCAAUCAUGUUCCUCAGACCACAUAAAAAGCUUAGAACUUUUUUUCCUAUAAUUUCCUACCAUUGAAUACAGGCUACAUAACUGCUGAAAGUUUUUCCCUAGUCUUUUCGUUUCUGUCACUCAAAGUUUCUUCUAAAAAGAGAUUUCCUGUUGUAUAGUAAAGACAGUUUAACUGAAUUCUUAGUGAAAAACUUCCUUCUUGGUUAUACUUAUAGGGCUUCCACCCCUACCCAAUGUGUUGUUAAACAUACAAUAAAAGAAAAGUCUUUGACCAAUUCAGUUACAGUUUCUCUUCACUAUGAUUUUUCUGAUGUUGAAGUAAGGCUGAAUGACCACUAAAGGCUCUUCCACAUUGAUUGCAUAUAAAGCGUUUCUCUCCACUAUGCAUUCUCUGAUGAAUAAUCAGGGAAGAAUUCUUACAGAAAGCUUUUUCACAAUGAAUACAUUUGUAGGGUUUCUCUCCAGUAUGGUUUCUCAAGUGUACAAUCAGGGAAGAACUCUCAUUAAAUGCCUUCCCACACUCAUUGCACCUGUAUGGUUUUUCUCCAGUAUGAGUUCUCCGGUGUGCAAUUAGGUGAGAGCUACAAUUAAAGGAUCGUUCACAUUGAUUACAUUUAUAGGGUUUCUCACCAGUGUGAAUUCUCCGAUGAGCAACAAGGUGACAGCUCUGACUGAAGGAUUUUCCACAUUUAUUGCAUUCAUAGGGCUUUUCUCCAGUAUGAGUCCUUUGAUGCCUAACAAGAUGGGCCAUUUGGCUACAUGAUUUUCCACAUUUAUUACAUUCAUAGGGCUUAAUUCCAGAAUGAAUAAUUUCAUGUUUUGUAAGGGCUGAACGCUCUCUGAAAGCUUUGCCACAUUCUUGACAGUUGUAAGGUUUCUCUCCCGUGUGAGUUCUUUGGUGAGCAAUAAGAUGGGAGCUCCAGCUGAAGGACUUUCCACACUCAGUACAUUUAUAUGGUUUUGCUCCAGAGUGAGUUCUUUCAUGUUUACUAAGGGCUGAAUAAUCUCUAAAAGCCUUUUCACAUUCAUCACAUUUAAAGGGUUUCUCUCCAGUAUGCAUCCGCAUAUGGGCAAUAAGAUGGGAACUCCAGCUAAAAGACUUGCCACAUUCAGUACACUCAAAAGGUUUCUCUCCAGUAUGAGUUCUCUGAUGCCCAAUAAGAUGGGAAUUCCAGUUGAAUGAUUUCCCACAUUCAUUACAUACAUAAGGUUUUUCUCCUGUAUGGAUUCUUGUGUGUACAAUAAGAUGAGAAUUCCAACUGAAGGCUUUCCCACAUUUGUUACAUUCAUAAGGUUUUAUUCC